GCACUGCUGAGCAGUCCCACAAUUGGACGAAACGGCCGUCCAGUGC
rnacentral:hammerhead_ribozyme from 1 species